rnacentral:rRNA from 1 species
AUUGAACGCUGGCGGCGUGCCUAACACAUGCAAGUCGAACGAGUGGCGCACGGGUGAAUCAUGUCUGGGAAACUGCCUGAUGGAGGGGGAUAACUCCUGGAAACGGUGGCUAUACCCGCAUACCAUCAGAUGUUCCCAGGCGGGAUUAGCUUGUUGGUGGGGUAACGGCUCACCAAGGCGACGAUCCAUAGCGGGUCUGAGAGGUUGACCAGCCACACUGGAACUGAGACACGGUCCAGACUCCUACGGGAGGCAGCAGUAGGGAAUCUUGCACAAUGGGCGCAAGCCUGAUGCAGCAAUGCCGCGUGUAUGAAGAAGGUCUUCGGAUUGUAAAGCACUGUUAGCAGGGAGGCGGUACCUGAAGAAGAAGCCCCGGCUAACUACGUGCCAGCAGCCGCGGUAAUAC